AUUGAAACAAUCCACCCGGUAGAGUGAACAGCUUGAGGUUGAUCCUGGCCUGUGAUAAGAGCCGGGUCAGUAUACUUGUUAGGGACAUGUGAGAGACCUCCCCGCCACACUGCAGCAUUCACAGCACCUUUCCUGGACCUCCUGUCACCUCGCAGGUCAGGGAGUUAUGUUCCCUGGGAACCCAGGGCUUGUCCAGAGCUACCCACAGUUGUCUGCAUUUCCAGGUAGCCCGAUUUUGGGGUUCUAGGAUGUUUCAUCUCCUGGGGGGAUAAUCAAAUCCCUGGAAGAGGACAAGAAAAACUGAGAACCUGACAGUAUUAUUGAAAAGGCUUCUCACUCGGGCAUGAUCAACCCCAGCCGGCAGUGGCAGACGCUGAAGCAGAACACGGGCGUUGCCCACUUUGAGUAUCAGAUCCGCGUGACCUGUGAUGACUACUACUAUGGGUUUGGCUGCAAUAAGUUCUGCCGCCCCAGAGAUGACUUCUUUGGACACUAUGCCUGUGACCAGAAUGGCAACAAAACUUGCAUGGAAGGCUGGAUGGGCCCCGAAUGUAACAGAGCUAUUUGCCGACAAGGCUGCAGUCCCAAGCAUGGGUCUUGCAAACUCCCGGGUGACUGCAGGUGCCAGUACGGCUGGCAAGGCCUGUACUGUGAUAAGUGCAUCCCGCACCCGGGAUGCGUCCACGGCAUCUGUAAUGAGCCCUGGCAGUGCCUCUGUGAGACCAACUGGGGCGGCCAGCUCUGUGACAAAGAUCUCAAUUACUGUGGCACCCAUCAGCCAUGUCUCAACGGGGGAACUUGUAGCAACACAGGCCCUGACAAAUAUCAGUGUUCCUGCCCUGAGGGGUAUUCAGGACCCAACUGUGAAAUUGCUGAGCACGCCUGCCUCUCUGAUCCCUGUCACAACAGAGGCAGCUGUAAGGAGACCUCCCUGGGCUUUGAGUGUGAGUGUUCCCCAGGCUGGACCGGCCCCACAUGCUCUACAAACAUUGAUGACUGUUCUCCUAAUAACUGUUCCCACGGGGGCACCUGCCAGGACCUGGUUAACGGAUUUAAGUGUGUGUGCCCCCCACAGUGGACUGGGAAAACGUGCCAGUUAGAUGCAAAUGAAUGUGAGGCCAAACCUUGUGUAAACGCCAAAUCCUGUAAGAAUCUCAUUGCCAGCUACUACUGCGACUGUCUUCCCGGCUGGAUGGGUCAGAAUUGUGACAUAAAUAUUAAUGACUGCCUUGGCCAGUGUCAGAAUGACGCCUCCUGUCGGGAUUUGGUUAAUGGUUAUCGCUGUAUCUGUCCACCUGGCUAUGCAGGCGAUCAUUGUGAGAGAGACAUCGAUGAAUGUGCCAGCAACCCCUGUUUGAAUGGGGGUCACUGUCAGAAUGAAAUCAACAGAUUCCAGUGUCUGUGUCCCACUGGUUUCUCUGGAAACCUCUGUCAGCUGGAUAUCGAUUAUUGUGAGCCUAAUCCCUGCCAGAACGGUGCCCAGUGCUACAACCGUGCCAGUGACUAUUUCUGCAAGUGCCCCGAGGACUAUGAGGGCAAGAACUGCUCACACCUGAAAGACCACUGCCGCACGACCCCCUGUGAAGUGAUUGACAGCUGCACAGUGGCCAUGGCUUCCAACGACACACCUGAAGGGGUGCGGUAUAUUUCCUCCAACGUCUGUGGUCCUCACGGGAAGUGCAAGAGUCAGUCGGGAGGCAAAUUCACCUGUGACUGUAACAAAGGCUUCACGGGAACAUACUGCCAUGAAAAUAUUAAUGACUGUGAGAGCAACCCUUGUAGAAACGGUGGCACUUGCAUCGAUGGUGUCAACUCCUACAAGUGCAUCUGUAGUGACGGCUGGGAGGGGGCCUACUGUGAAACCAAUAUUAAUGACUGCAGCCAGAACCCCUGCCACAAUGGGGGCACGUGUCGCGACCUGGUCAACGACUUCUACUGUGACUGUAAAAACGGGUGGAAAGGAAAGACCUGCCACUCACGUGACAGUCAGUGUGACGAGGCCACGUGCAACAACGGUGGCACCUGCUAUGAUGAGGGGGAUGCUUUUAAGUGCAUGUGUCCUGGCGGCUGGGAAGGAACCACCUGUAACAUAGCCCGAAACAGUAGCUGCCUGCCCAACCCCUGCCAUAAUGGGGGCACAUGUGUGGUCAACGGCGAGUCCUUUACGUGUGUCUGCAAGGAAGGCUGGGAGGGGCCCAUCUGUGCUCAGAAUACCAAUGACUGCAGCCCUCAUCCCUGUUACAACAGCGGCACCUGUGUGGAUGGAGACAACUGGUACCGGUGCGAAUGUGCCCCGGGUUUUGCUGGGCCCGACUGCAGAAUAAACAUCAAUGAAUGCCAGUCUUCACCUUGUGCCUUUGGAGCGACCUGUGUGGAUGAGAUCAAUGGCUACCGGUGUGUCUGCCCUCCAGGGCACAGUGGUGCCAAGUGCCAGGAAGUUUCAGGGAGACCUUGCAUCACCAUGGGGAGUGUGAUACCAGAUGGGGCCAAAUGGGAUGAUGACUGUAAUACCUGCCAGUGCCUGAAUGGACGGAUCGCCUGCUCAAAGGUCUGGUGUGGCCCUCGACCUUGCCUGCUCCACAAAGGGCACAGCGAGUGCCCCAGCGGGCAGAGCUGCAUCCCCAUCCUGGAUGACCAGUGCUUCGUCCACCCCUGCACUGGUGUGGGCGAGUGUCGGUCUUCCAGUCUCCAGCCGGUGAAGACAAAGUGCACCUCUGACUCCUAUUACCAGGAUAACUGUGCGAACAUCACGUUUACCUUUAACAAGGAGAUGAUGUCACCAGGUCUUACUACGGAGCACAUUUGCAGUGCAUUGAGGAAUUUGAAUAUUUUGAAGAAUGUUUCCGCUGAAUAUUCAAUCUACAUCGCUUGCGAGCCUUCCCCUUCAGCGAACAAUGAAAUACAUGUGGCCAUUUCUGCUGAAGAUAUACGGGAUGAUGGGAACCCGAUCAAGGAAAUCACUGACAAAAUAAUCGAUCUUGUUAGUAAACGUGACGGAAACAGCUCGCUGAUUGCUGCCGUUGCAGAAGUAAGAGUUCAGAGGCGGCCUCUGAAGAACAGAACAGAUUUCCUUGUUCCCUUGCUGAGCUCUGUCUUAACUGUGGCUUGGAUCUGUUGCUUGGUGACGGCCUUCUACUGGUGCCUGCGGAAGCGGCGGAAGCCGGGCAGCCACACACACUCGGCCUCUGAGGACAACACCACCAACAACGUGCGGGAGCAGCUGAACCAGAUCAAAAACCCCAUUGAGAAACAUGGGGCCAACACGGUCCCCAUCAAGGAUUACGAGAACAAGAACUCCAAAAUGUCUAAAAUAAGGACACACAAUUCUGAAGUAGAAGAGGACGACACGGACAAACACCAGCAGAAAGCCCGGUUUGCCAAGCAGCCGGCGUACACGCUGGUAGACAGAGAAGAGAAGCCCCCCAACGGCAUGCCGACAAAACACCCAAACUGGACAAACAAACAGGACAACAGAGACUUGGAAAGUGCCCAGAGCUUAAACCGAAUGGAGUACAUUGUAUAGCAGACCGCGGGCACUGCCGCCGCUAGUGUGGCCUCUUCUGAGCUUACGUAGUUAUACCGGCUUUGCCGUGUGCUUCUGCCACCCUGCUGAGUCUGUUCUGGUAAUCGGGGUAUAAUAGGCUCUGCUUGACAGAGGGAUGGAGGAAGAACUGAAAGGCUUUUCAACCACAAAACUCAUCUGGAGUUCUCAAAGACCUGGGGCUGCUGUGAAGCUGGAACUGCGGGAGCCCCAUCUA
rnacentral:sRNA from 1 species